CCUGCGCCACCUGCUUCAGGUGCCCCCCAGUCCAGACUCGGAGGGGUGAAACAGGGAAGCCGGUGCGUAUAUGUAAUGAUUCUUUCAUUGCAAUUUUGAUACCAAGCCGGCGCUGCCCCCGCAACGGUAGGCGAGUCGAGAAGCCACACCGGCAGAUGAGCGACGCUCCAGAGGCGUCCGCCAACUGCCAGGCCACUGUGUCCAGACACGGGAAGGCGUGGAUUCGGGAACCCUCGGGUUCCGCUCGCAAGCCCGGAGACCGGCCUGUCGCAUCCACGGUAUC
rnacentral:ncRNA from 1 species